rnacentral:rRNA from 1 species
UGGGGAAUAUUGCACAAUGGGCGCAAGCCUGAUGCAGCCAUGCCGCGUGUAUGAAGAAGGCCUUCGGGUUGUAAAGUACUUUCAGCGGGGAGGAAGGUGUUGUGGUUAAUAACCACAGCAAUUGACGUUACCCGCAGAAGAAGCACCGGCUAACUCCGUGCCAGCAGCCGCGGUAAUACGGAGGGUGCAAGCGUUAAUCGGAAUUAAUGGGCGUAAAGCGCACGCAGGCGGUCUGUCAAGUCGGAUGUGAAAUCCCCGGGCUCAACCUGGGAACUGCAUCCGAAACUGGCAGGCUUGAGUCUUGUAGAGGGGGGUAGAAUUCCAGGUGUAGCGGUGAAAUGCGUAGAGAUCUGGAGGAAUACCGGUGGCGAAGGCGGCCCCCUGGACAAAGACUGACGCUCAGGUGCGAAAGCGUGGGGAGCAAACA